UAAUAAUAAUAUUCAAAAAUGUAUUCAGACCCUUUUACUAUUGAAAGAAUGGACAAAAUAAUACAUCGUGCUAACUUCAGUCCACUCAUCUUUUUCAGAUAAAAAUGUUUUGUCCUUUCUGUGGCAUUCAAUGGGCGACUUUGCCCAGAUUUUGUAGUUCCUGUGGGCGAGAUGUAAGGUUUGUAGAGAACGCCUCUAGAACUGCAGGUGAUGACCAUGUGUCACAUAUGACUGUGCCCAGGGCAGUGACUGAUGCAUGUGCCAUUCCAUCAAAGCCAACUGUUCUCCAGUUUAUGAAAUACAGAGAAGUAAAAGAAACUGAAAGGAAGACAUUUUCUAAAAGUAAAAAGAAAUCAAAUAAAACAGUAAAGAUUUCUGUUGGGAUCAUGAGCAAGACCAGGAAUGGCUUUAAGCCCAUGAGAGGGAAAAACCUACCUCUACAUGUUGACCCCCAGUGGGCAUCUGAGCAACUCUUGGCAGCUGCAGUGAAAAAACAAAGAUUUCAAUCAAGACAUGGAAGAUGGAGAACAUGUCUUGCUUUAUCCAGAUGGCUCUCAGAUAAAAAAUAUCCCUGGGACUGACACUCCUUUUACCAUUGGACAAUACAAAGCGGCCAUUGGAAAGGCGUUUCAAAGGAUCACAUUGUACAUCUGUACC